UACAGAGGUCUCAAGCGUUGUUCGGAUUCAUUGGGCGUAAAGGGUGCGUAGGUGGCGCCGUAAGUCAGGUGUGAAAUUUCGGAGCUUAACUCCGAAACUGCAUUCGAUACUGGCGUGCUUGAGGACUGGAGAGGAGACUGGAAUUCAUGGUGUAGCAGUGAAAUGCGUAGAGAUCAUGAGGAAGACCAGUGGCGAAGGCGGGUCUCUGGACAGUUCCUGACACUGAGAGCACGAAGGCCAGGGGAGCAAACGGG
rnacentral:rRNA from 1 species